UACGUAGGGUGCAAGCGUUGUCCGGAAUUAUUGGGCGUAAAGAGCUCGUAGGCGGUUUGUCGCGUCGAAUGUGAAAACCCGGGGCUCAACUCCGGGCCUGCAUUCGAUACGGGCAGACUAGAGUUCGGUAGGGGAGUCUGGAAUUCCUGGUGUAGCGGUGAAAUGCGCAGAUAUCAGGAGGAACACCGGUGGCGAAGGCGGGACUCUGGGCCGGCACUGACGCUGAGGAGCGAAAGCGUGGGGAGCAAACAGG
rnacentral:rRNA from 1 species